CCUACGGGAGGCAGCAGUAAGGAAUAUUGGUCAAUGGACGAAAGUCUGAACCAGCCAUGCCGCGUGAAGGAUUAAGGCCCUCUGGGUUGUAAACUUCUUUUAUCUGGGACGAAAAAAGGGUAUUCUUACUCACUUGACGGUACCAGAGGAAUAAGCACCGGCUAACUCCGUGCCAGCAGCCGCGGUAAUACGGAGGGUGCAAGCGUUAUCCGGAUUUACUGGGUUUAAAGGGUGCGUAGGUGGGUUUGUAAGUCAGUGGUGAAAUCUCCGAGCUUAACUCGGAAACUGCCAUUGAUACUAUAGAUCUUGAAUUAUCUGGAGGUAAGCGGAAUAUGUCAUGUAGCGGUGAAAUGCUUAGAUAUGACAUAGAACACCAAUUGCGAAGGCAGCUUACUACGGAUAUAUUGACACUGAGGCACGAAAGCGUGGGGAUCAAACAGGAUUAGAUACCCUGGUAGUCCACGCCCUAAACGAUGGAUACUCGACAUCAGCGAUACACUGUUGGUGUCUGAGCGAAAGCAUUAAGUAUCCCACCUGGGAAGUACGAUCGCAAGAUUGAAACUCAAAGGAAUUGACGG
rnacentral:rRNA from 1 species